UGUAAUAACGGUGGAACAUAUGAGAGGUAUUUUAGAAAGAAAAAAAAAAGUAGGGGUAAAUCCGAUAUUUUCAAACAUACGAGGGGUAUAUAGGCAAUUAUCCUAUCAUUUUAAUACUCUAUUUGGUGCCAAAUCAAAAUAGAAUUGAAAUGGUUGCAAGUGAAUGAAUUGAAAAUUUGGGGUUGAAAUAGCUGUUUGGAGUAAAAUGUGUUUCAGUGGUGUUCCUGCUGUUCAUUUCCAGUUGCAUUAAUUCUUAGUUAUGUGUAAACUCCAUGACAAUUAGAAAGGGCAUUUUUAGAUAGACAAGUUUUUCUUUAUGAUAAGUCGGAUCUUAAAUCGUCUGAUUUGUUUGCAGUUAUUAUCAAAAUCCACCCAAAUCAGUGCUUACCAUUAUGGACGAAUCAACUUCGGAACAAAGGAAUUGAGAAAAAGUGGAUUGAAAUCCCAUUUAAAUGAGUGAGUUCUCUCUUGCCAAAGAGUGUGGGGGUACAUGUUUUGUUGGUUUUUAGAGAGAUCACUUGUUUUCCUUGUCCAUUAAAGUUGAAUCUUAGGACAUUAAUGCAAUUAGGGUUACAGAUACCAGUUGUGCUGGGAUACCUAUUCCCUUGCAUGAAGCGGGAUUUGAAACCGAGUCACGCAGCUCAGGGGAAGGGUAAAGCCUAAAAUGCCCCUUUCCUUUGCCCUCUCAGUCUCCUCUUUCCCUCGGCCAUCAUUGAUGCAAACGAACUCGAGCGAGUGAUAGCCAUGGAUCAAGUUUGGUGACAGUAGAAAUAUUAGUUUGGCGGUAGACUUAUCUUCCGGUGUAGGCUACAUUUUAGAUUAUUCUGUGAAAGACAACUUUGGGCUUCUCUCUACUCUUUGUUUAUGUUUUGUUCAUCUUCUUUAGCGAGAAGUGACAGCGGCGUGUGAAGAACGGCCAAGAGGAGGAGCAUACAACCCUUUUUUUUCUCGCCUAAUUGCGACGACUACGUACUAUGGGCAGCCUUGAGUUGAGGGCAAGAUCACUUUUCUCUUUUUCCUUUCCUUCUUUAACGAGCAGAUGGCGUGCGAAGGGCAACUACGAGCAGGAGAGAAUGCCUCCUCCUUCUUCAUCUAUCUCCUCCGACGAAUGAUGAAAGGUGUCGUGCGAGGAGGAGAGUGUCAUAUCCUGGGCCCCGACAGGAGGUGACGGCAGUAUGCAUGUGAACUGUGAUCGCAAGAUAGUAGUUCACAGUAAAGCCGCGCGAAAUUGUUCAACACUGAGCAAAGUUCACGCAUCAGCUGCGAACUGUUGGAAGUGCAAUUUGAAUGAUUUGAAUUUUGUACAAACGAGAUAAAGAAGAAAUAGGACAAUGUGGGGCUAGAGUUUCUGCACUCGGUAUGAAAAUUCGUGCGACUUCGCUGGUUCGUUCAACCCAACAUGAAAGGAAAAGCGAGAGUAAUUUUUUUUUUUUUUUUAUAGAAAUAGUAGCAAGUUCAUUGUUUCAUUCAUUAGGCAAAAUGAAUUUGGCAAUCAAGAUGGAA